rnacentral:lncRNA from 1 species
CUGAUUUUCCUGUGCUGGGCUCCGGGGGACAAGGAGCCCUCUCUGCUGGAUGGACGUCAGCCCUGCACACCGCCCCCCAGCCCCCAUCCUAUCCUCCCGCCUCUGCCCUCCGCCGACGGGGCCGACCCUUUAUCCCAUGGCCGGUUUCUAUCAGCCCUGAGGACAGAAGGGACCACAGGGCCCUCGCACCGGGCGCCCUCAGGAUCGCAACACACUUGAAGCCGCAGGUAUUUCACAGCAAGGGAAACUGAGGCUCAGAAAGGUUGGAGUUGAGAAGCCCGAAGGGACGUCUAGACGCACACCUCCCCGGGAGCCGCCAGCCCCUCGGUUGUUACCCCAGCGCCUCUCGGAGCGCGAGCGCGGCCUCAGCUCCGCGCGCGCCAGGCUCCCCUACCCGGGCUCCGUCCCGGCCCGCAGGACCCGCCAGCCGAUCCCCGCAGAGUGCGGAGCGGCGGCCCGGGUCCCCGCGCCCGCUACCCUCCCGCCGGGCCACCCGCCCCGCGGCCGCGACCACCCCGCCGGGCCACUCACCCGCGCGCCCGCCCCCCGGGCUCCAGUGCGCGCCGCCUCCUCCGCGCAGGGCCGCGCAUCCCCCGCGCAGCGCCGCGGCCGGGCGCCCUCUCCGCGCGCUGGGAAGUUUCCCGGCCCGGCCCGGCCGCCCCGCGCUCGGGGCUCGGCGUCCGCCGCGCGCUCCGCCCACCGCGAGCAGGAGGCGGCGCCCCGCGCAGAGUGUGUCCCGGCCGGGCGGAGCCUCGUGACCCGCAGCCCCAGGCACACGCCGCCGCCCGCCGGGGAGGGGGCCCGACAGGAGUGCCGGGGAGGGGGGUCCUGGGAGGGGGUCCUGGGAGGGGGGCUGAGGGCUAGGGGUCCUGGGAGGGGGGCCAGAGGAGGGGGCCCCACUCGGAGCGCCCUCACUGUGCUCCCCGCCUCUGGGAAGUGUGACCCGCGGACGGGUGGAGGCGUGGGUCCCUUCCAACCUCGGUCAUGGGAGAGCUAUUCCCGACGCCUUUCCUGCGUUCGCCUCCCUGGCCUCAGAAAGGCUGCUGCUCGAGGCGGGGCCGGGGCGGCGAGCUGGCCGGCAGGAAGCCUUCGCACAAUCGAGCCUUUCCUCUGCGCGGAGACCCGCCACCACCACUUCCAGCCCAACCACUCCCACCCCCACCCGGGGCCUCGGGCGGCCGCUGGCUGGACGGCCCCUUAG